AACACGCAUGACACACUGCAUAUCAAUAAGCGGAGGAAAAGAAACUAACAAGGAUUCCCUUAGUAACGGCGAGUGAAGCGGGAAGAGCUCAAAUUUGAAAUCUUCAAGGUUUUACCUUGACGAAUUGUAGUUUAAAGAAGUGUUUUCUGUUGAAGUUUUGGUAAAAGUUCUUUGGAAUAGGACAUCAUAGAGGGUGAGAAUCCCGUAUUUGACCAUUAUUUUCAGCUGUGUGAUACACUUUCAAAGAGUCGGUUUGUUUGGGAAUGCAGUCCAAAAUGGGUGGUAAAUUUCAUCUAAAGCUAAAUAUUGGCGAGAGACCGAUAGCGAACAAGUACCGUGAGGGAAAGAUGAAAAGAACUUUGAAAAGAGAGUUAAACAGUACGUGAAAUUGUCAAAAGGGAAGCGUUUGACACCAGUGUUGUUUUCUCGAAAAUCAAUUAAAAAAGGCCGGAUUUUGUGUUGUAUUGACCUUAAAAGCUUUCUUCACUCUUUUCUUGUCUUUUUUAAUGCACUUUUCGUUUAACAAGUCAACAUCAGUUUCUUUUGUUGUAAAAGAGGUCAUUGGAAGGUGGCUUUCUUUUCGGAGAAAGUGUUUAUAGCCUUUGAUCUCUGCAACCGGAGAGACUGAGGUCUGCAGCGUAGACUCUUCGGGGUUAGAUACAUUUGUGCUAAGCUAUAGCUUUUCAUAGACAACUUGUUGACUAUGUUUAGUCUUGUGGCUUACUCGCUUAUGCUAUUUUACCUACGCUUAGGAUGUUGAACUACUGAGACAUAGA
rnacentral:rRNA from 1 species